GAGACUGCCAGUGAUAAACUAGGAGGGAAGGUGGGGAUGACGUCAAAUCAUCAUGCCCCUUAUGACCUGGGCUACACACGUGCUACAAUGGCCGGUACAAAGAGUUGCGAAACUGUGAAGUUAAGCUAAUCUCAUAAAGCCGGUCUCAGUUCGGAUUGUAGUCUGCAACUCGACUACAUGAAGUCGGAAUCGCUAGUAAUCGCGAAUCAGAAUGUCGCGGUGAAUACGUUCUCGAGUCUU
rnacentral:rRNA from 1 species